GGGCUCCACCCAGUUAGAGCUUCCAGGCUGCUUUGUUUACCUAAUCAAGCCUGGGCAAUGGCGGGCGCCCCUCCCCCAGCCUCGCUGCUGCCUUGCAGUUUGAUCUCAGACUGCUGUGCUAGCAAUCAGCGAGAUUCCGUGGGCGUAGGACCCUCCGAGCCAGGUGCAGGAUAAAAUCUCGUGGUGCGCCGUUUUUUAAGCCGGUUGGAAAAGCGCAGUAUUUGGGUGGGAGUGCCCGAUUUUCCAGACAACUUUGCACCAUGCGGACAGGUCAAAUGAGACCAGAAGUAUUAUGAACCAAUGCUAAUCAGGACUGUUUCCUGCACUCUGAGACCAAAGGGGCCAUUCUCACAAAGAAAGAGCUCCUGCCAUGUUACAUGCCUGCUCUCCAUCUGCCUUCCAACAUGAUUGGAAGCUUUCCGAUGCCCUCACCAGAAGCAAAUGCUGGUGCCGUGCUUUCUGUACUGCCUGCAGAACUCAGGCUUUCGGCAUUUGGCAUCCACAGGAAACUCCAGCUUGACUUAAGGAGUGAGAGAAAGCAGAGGGCAUCACCUGGAAUCCUGCCACUGAUGAACACUCUUUGCUGUUUACUUGCCAAUAAUUGAGAAGUAGAUCCUGAGCCAAGUGCAAAGAGUUUCUUUGGAACAAGAAAACAUGACAAGGAAGUGGAGAAAUGAGAGCGGCAAGGUGGACAAAGGGGAUUUUGGAGACCAAAAAAGUCCUCAGGCAAACAGAUGCAGGUGCUAGCAGUUGGAAGUCAGGCCCAAGAGCUCUGAUGCGUGUGAUAAUAUGGGAAUUAAUAAGCCUGCUAUAUUUGAAAACCUCCCUGAUAUGCCAGGGUCAAUCUGGAUCCUCCGUCAAGCAGACACCAAGAUAGGAGUUGACACUGAAGAAAGAGCAUGUAAAGGAUAAAGGUAGGUGGGGGGGCAGGAAGAGUUUUCAGACUGUGAUGCAGGGUUGACAUCUCGGAAGGAGAGGGAAGGAACAGUGGGUAGGAAGAAUGGUGCACUACUGAGAAAGUCUUUGUCAAGCUAAUGAGGAAUCCUGGCACAGAGAUUACCUAUUAGGCGAGCCCCACACAGGAUAGAAAGGGCUGAACUUUACUAUUGGCAUCACGUUUGGUCAUCGGCUGACAUGGACAGUGUGGCAGAUUUGAAGAUUUGGCAGCUGAAGACUGUCAUCAGCAACACUUUUCCCACCAGGUUCUCUUGACAUGAGAUCCAAACAGUGCACCUCUAUUGCUACUAAAUGUCAGUUCUUGAAUAUUCCAGAGUUCCUUUUCUUUGAGGGCAAGGGUUGGAUUGUAUUUUACCACCUCUUUAAAAUUAGGAUGGCCAUAUGACUUAUUUUGGUCAUUAAGUUGUAAGUGGAAGUUUGAAAAAACAGUAUAUGCUUUGCCGGAUUAUCUUUUUCUCUUCAAAGAAAAUACCUUUUGAGCAGAACUUCCAUCAAUCUGGGCCCCAAUAAUGAGCAGGCUCUUACCAACUCAGGUGGGACAUGUAGACUGAGCAAGAAAUAGCAUUAUUGUAAUAAGCCAUUGAGAUAUUAUGUUUUUUAUUGAGGCAUAACCUAGAUUACUCUGACUGAAACCAUAGCUUUGGAGAUUGUGCUGGAGUAUUUUAGUUUCUACAUACACUGAGAAAUAGGCAGUGACCAUUGGGGAACAGGAGGCAGUGAACACUGGGGAAGAGGAGGCAGUGAACAUACCACUGGAAUCCAGCUUGGUUGGAUAUAAGAGCACAACAAUUUGAAAGCGUUAGUCAAAGAAAUGAACUGCUUGAUUUUCCUUCUGAGCUUCUAAAGUCAUUUAUAUUUAGAAGGAAAAGCUCACCAGUCAUAGGUUGUAACAAAUUAUUAAUACAUAAAUGUGUUCUGAGCUAACAGGACCAUAAACUGUCAUAGUUGGUCAACAAUAUUUAUUGUGGAUAAACAACUUGUAUUAGAUAUGUUAGAACAUAAAAAAGAGAACAAUGAUUAUUAUCAUCCCUUUUAUUGUAUGCCACAUAUUAUGAGAUUCAAAGGCUUUCAUAAAUAUUUUCUUCUACUCAGUGGAGUAAGUAGGGAAAGUAUUAUUAUCCCAGUUUUACAGUUAAGGAAAUGGAAACCCACAAACUUUAAAUGACAAAGGGGAUAAGUGGUUGAAACAAAACUAGAACUCAAUACAUCUGAGUAGAUGCCUGUAAAUUAAAAUAUUGCCUUCUUGCGAAGGCUAAAAUUCUUGUUGCCAGAAAAAGUUUAAGAAUAUUUUCAGUGCCUACAGUCAAAUACAUAUGCAUCAAUAAGGCAUUUGCAGCUAUUUUGUGUCAUGGUAUUGGAUGAAUGCUAUAAUUAGAAAACAGACGUGAAGCCGACCUAAAACCAUCAAACUAAUAUAGAGAGCCCUGAAGCUUUUUCCAGUUCCAGUCAGUCUGAAAAGACAACAUCAAAUGCUAAUGAGAGUCAGUCUUAAAUAAAAUAAGAAUAAAAAUUGCUUUAUCUGUGGCUUAUAACUCUUAAGUGAAUUUAAUGUGUAUUUUCUCUCUUGUGUGUUACAUUUUCCCUAUAAGGAAUUAUAGAGUUGAACCCAGAUCUUGUACCCAUAAAUCUCAAAUGCUUAUGGAGACAUAAAGAAUAGGUAAAAAUGGAUUUUUAAUCACAUUAAGGAAUGCUGUUAUGAGGCAACUUCCUUUGAAACUCAAAAUACUAACAAAUUGAUAGGAAGAUUUUAAAACAUGGCUCCAUUUUAUUUGAUACUUGUUCCAUCUAAAGGUUGGACUUUUCCCCCUUUCUGAUUAACCUGGAUUCUGUGCUUGCUUUCAAUCUGGCCGUUUCUAGAUCAGGCCUUAAGAAACUGGCAGUUCCUACUUCCUGUCUCUUCAGACACUCUGGAAACCACCAUGCUGUGAGGAAGCCCAAGUAGUUCCUGGAGAGAUCUACACCAAUAACUGAAGCCCCAAGGCCCUAGCACUGGCUGAGCUCCCAGCUGAAAGCCAGCACCAAAUUUCCAUAACUUUGAGUGAACCAUCUUGGAAGUGUAUAUUCCAGUUCCAGGUUAAGUGUACUCAGAAAUAACCUGCCCCAUUGAUCCCUGUAAAAAUUGGAGAUCUGAAAGCAAAAUACAAUAUUGUUGACAUUUUAAGUCAGUAGGGUUUGGGGCAGUUUAUUGUAUCAGUGAACUUUGCCUAGGUUGGUUUUACCUAGAGGCCUUCUAUAGUACAUAAUAGAGUACCUUGGUCUGGUUAUAGGGAUUUUGUGCCUUCCUUUACAUUUUAAAGUGAAAGAAAAAUAUCUUUUCUGUGAACAUGAAUUUUUUAUUAUUAUUGUUAUACUUUUAAGUUCUAGGGUACAUGUGCACAAUGUGCAGGUUUGUUACAUUGGUAUACAUGUGCCAUGUUUGUUUGCUGCAUCCAUCAACUCGUCAUUUACAUUAGGUAUUUCUCCUAAUGCUAUCCCUCCCCCAGCUCCCCAGCCCCCAACAGGCCCGGGUGUGUGAUGUUCCCCUCCCUGUGUCCAUGUGUUGUCAUGAACAUCAAUAUUUUUAAUGAGGGCAUUAAGUUUACUCUAUUGUGUGGUUAUCCUGUAUUCUUGUAGCAUUGUCUCGUUUAGUCCGUAGAGAAAGAUCACAUCCCUGUAGUGUGUGAUCUACUAUAAAAUGAGUUGGGGUUUUUUGUGUCAAUAAAAUGAGUUGCAACAAAAUGAGUUGGGUUUUUUUGUGUCAAUAAGUGGGGACAGUGGGAAAAUUUCCUUAAGGAAAGCACAUGAGAUUUGGUGAUUUGGGGCAGA
rnacentral:lncRNA from 1 species